UUCCCACAACAGAAGAAUGGAUACAGAAAACGUGGUUCAUUUCCACAAUGAAAUACUACUUAGCUAUUAAGAAUGAGGACAUCCUGAGUUUUGCAGGCAAAUAGAUGGAACUAGAAAAUAUCAUCCUGAGUGAGAAAUUAUUCAGUACUAAUUGACAGCAGCUCUUUUUGCUCUGGUAAGGAUAAAGUCAACAAGAUAAUAUUUUCUCACAAAAAAAAAAAAUAGAGAAGAACAAAAUGUAAGAUUGUCUGAUGCUAAAACUAUGAAUAAUAAUCAAAGAGAGCAAAAGCCUGUGGAAAUUAAGGGUUCAAGAAUACAACCCAUCUUAUGCUACCAUAAUUUAGAUUACAGGAGAUGGCCAACCCAUGGAAUUUAGAAAAUCCAGGAUUAACUAGUCAAACUGUCCAGAGAGCUCAGAUCUCAGCAGCUCACUGGCAGAACAGAGAACCUCCCACAUGUGAGAGAGCCAUAAGCCAAGACAAGUCUGGCUCAAGUAGAAGACUUGUAUCACUCACUGAAUGACGGAGUAAACAACUGAGGAAGAUUAUGUCAACCAUUGGCAUCUACAUGUAUCUGAAAAGAAGUCCAUGUGCCCCACCCUACAUGCGUGUGAAAAUGUACAUGCAUGUGCAACACAAAUGCAGAAUGAGUUUCUAAUACUGCAUCAAGCUAUUAGACUAUGAAUUCGCUGCUAUGUUAAUUUCAGGUAAAGUGUUGCUCCUGCAUCAUCUUCCUCAGAAGAAAGAAUGGUCAGUUGUACUGCACUGG
rnacentral:lncRNA from 1 species